rnacentral:lncRNA from 1 species
CCACAAUCGUAAAGUUUUCUACUUUAUGCUGUACAGUAUGAAACGUUUCAAAGAUGAGCAAUACAAGUCUGCCUGGAGUCAAUGGGAAUCAAGUGGCUCACACAGCAGUGGAGGAAAAUAUUGAGAGGUACAGUACAUUGGUGGACUGAGAAGACUUGGAAAGCAGGAUAAUACUAGACUAUGAAUAUAACAUCUGUGCUGCAACAGCCCUGCACAACAUUACAAGGCAAGAAUUACGAGCAGGUGCUAUACUGUAUGUUAAACGGCUUGAAACAAAGUGAGAGAUUUACUGCAAGUUCCUGA